AUCCCAGGUUCAGGCCUGCACGGACGGUGUGCCAUUUCUUUUGAUUUCUCCUGCUUAGAAAUGGUGCGAGAACUUUGGAUGUGGAACGUGGAGGAGGAGGAACACGAAGUGGGGAUCUGCACUUGGGGUGGUCAGCACUGCGGAUGCCCAGCAAAGUCACUGCCUGGUCCACAUCCCGGAGGGGUCUCUGCGCCUCAGUCGGCAUCGCAGCUGAUGGUGAAACUUUUGGUGUGGCAGAAGAGUGUCCACAAACUUCGGAAGGUAUCCGCUACAUCCUCCAUAGCCGUGUAUCCCUGCCCAGGGCAAUCUUCUGGGGGAGCGGAAAGUCCUGCUCCCGGGCCAGGGCUGGCUGGCUGGAGCCACUUGUGCGGCGCAGCCCUGGCGGAGGUUCAGGCGGCCCCGGUGUCGCAAGCGGCUGUGAGUGAUGCCUCCCUGGGGCCGGAGUGGUCCCAGGAAGGCUGCAGACCAGGGCUGACCAGCGGGCAGCAUGGUGGCCGCGAUGGAAGGUGACGGGGUUCGCAGCGCCAGGGGACCCAGCAGAGCCCGAGCCCGGGCAUCCCGCAUCUCCAGCAGCAUCGCAGGUAGGCCUGGUGCUGGUGAAGUGGCGGCCAGUGCACAAGGCCUACGACCCAGUCCCAGAGGCCAGCCCAUUGUCAGCUAACUUCAGGAACCCCGGGCCAGCUGAGGCCCCGGGCCCCAUGGGCAAGACAAAGGGCAGAGGGUCCGCAGGCGGGGCCGAGUGCAGGCAGUGCAGGCCUGGCUCCACCGCCGCGGAGCUCGCAGGGCGCAGCAGGCAUCGGGCAGUGACCAGGGCUUCCAGAGGAGGCUGUGCACCCCUGCAAAGGCUCCUGCCCUGCGUCCAGCCUAUCCGCGGGGACUCCACGUGCACCCCCUCCUCAUUGUCCUUGUCUAGGGCCGCGGCGGCAAGGUCCUUGCUCCCAUGGCGUGACUCCAGGGUGCAGGAGCCUGGGCUGAGCAGGUGGAGUAGGGUGAGCUCCGCCAAGAACCCAGCGAGAGUGGCGCCCCAGGGCGGCACAGGAGGCCGCAUUUAACAUGUCAAUCAUCUGAAAGAUUUUAUGGCAUCUUUUUUUUGACAUCUUAUAAUAUCUAUAAUGUUUAUUAUAUCUUGUGAUAUAAUUAUUAACACCACUUCAGUGUGAUUAUUAUGAUUAUUUUUAUACCAACACAUCUUCAAUUAUUAAUAUUCCCAGUUGCUAGAGAAAACUGAAAACUACUAGUUUUGAAAGCCUCACUUCUGCCAAUGGAAGCACAUUCCAGCAUGUCGCCAACGCAAUCCACUUUCCACCACUUUCACAAAAAACGUUACUGCACAAUUAUACUAUCCUACCCUUAUAUACUUUUUGUGUGUGUGUGUACUUGUAUGUAUGUAUGUUACAUAGGUCAUAUAUAUAUAUAUAUAUAUAUAUAUAUAUGCCAGAGAUGAACAAGCAUUAGAAAAUUAAAUGCACACAGGUCAUGUCAGUGCUAUGUAUAAUGUGGUAUACUAAGUAUA
rnacentral:lncRNA from 1 species